UUGCCGCCGCCGUGCUUGCCUCGCCGGACCCUGUCUCUCUCCCGCCCCUCCCCUUCCUCCCGCUCCUCCGCCCGAUCCAUCUCCUCCUCGCGCUCCCGCUCCUCGCCUCCCACCCGCACCUCACCCUCCUCCUCCUCCUCUUCCCCUCUCGCCCCCAGCAACACCCGCACCCUCACCUCCUCCUGUGCUUCACCAUUGCCGCCCACCUUGCCGUCCGCGACGCUGGUGCCGCGCACACCAUCCUCGUGCGCGCCUUCCGCUUCCCGUCCCCUCACUGGUAUUUCGUCGAGCACUUCAUCUCCACCUACAGGGCCUUCUCCUCCGACCCCGCCUGUGGUUAUUGGCAGCGGUGUUGCUGGCCUAAGGUAUGCACUAGAAGUUUCAAAGCAUGGCUUUGUUGCUAUUAUUACCAAAGCAGAGCCUCAUGAGAGCAACACAAACUAUGCACAAGGUGGUGUUAGUGCUGUUCUAUGCCCCUCUGAUUCUGUAGAAAGUCACAUGAAAGACACAAUUGUUGCAGGAGCUUACCUGUGUGAUGAAGAGACUGUCAGGAUAAGUUUAGCAUCCAUGAUCCCAUCAUCACUACAAUAAUUGCUUUUUCAUUGCCUCACCAUUUUUUCAAUGCAUUUUCCAGUGAAUCCUUGCUUGCAAACUAUUUCUUUCCCUGCAUUGCACAGUUGUUAACUCAUAUUUCUGGAUUACUAACCUUCAUUUUGUCUUUCAGGUAGUAUGCACAGAAGAUGGUAGACUGCACUUUGCAAGGGAAGGUGGACAUUCUCACAACAGAAUUGUUCAUUCUGCUGAUACGACUGGAAGGGAGAUCGAAAGAGCACUACUUCAAGCAGUUGACAAUGAUGAUAGCAUAUCUUUGUUUGGUCACCACUUUGCCAUCGAUCUAUUGACAUGUCAGUUUAUCGAUGGCGGUAAUGGCAUCGACGCUGCACUCUCUAUUGGAUCUCUUGUCAAGCUUCAUACUCUGGUUUACAACACAUGCUAUGAAAAAGCCCAACAAGUACAGCUAUCCAAUUGGAAAGAGGCGCAUGCAGCCAGUGGGCAUAAUUGUUUUUGCAUCGGUGAUGGGCACACUUGGUUUCCAAGUGCUGAUCGAAUCAGGGCGCCAACUUAUUACGCAGGUACACGAUCUGCUGUUAUGACAACAAACCUUUGCCCAAAACUUUGCCUUCUUUAGCUCUCUGUCUUUUUAAAAAAAGAAUUAGUCACUGUUGGAAGAAAAACAUAACGAUUGAUGCAAGCAAACAUACUUUCACCUGUCAUGACGCACACGAAAAUAUUCGUUAUCCGUCACAAUACAUGUGAAAAUAUUCAUCCCCUGCCGCGACGCAUAU